UACGUAGGGUGCGAGCGUUGUCCGGAAUUAUUGGGCGUAAAGAGCUCGUAGGCGGUGUGUCGCGUCGGCCGUGAAAACCUGCAGCUUAACUGUGGGCUUGCGGUCGAUACGGGCAUCACUGGAGUUCGGCAGGGGAGAGUGGAAUUCCUGGUGUAGCGGUGAAAUGCGCAGAUAUCAGGAAGAACACCUAUGGCGAAGGCAGCUCUCUGGGACGGUACUGACGCUGAGAAGCGAAAGCAUGGGGAGCGAACAGG
rnacentral:rRNA from 1 species